GCUAAAAUUAUACAAGUGAAUAAGACAAAGAUGAGCCCAAGGUCCUAGGGGAGACCUUCAUUGAACCAGAGCACAGAAACAUGUCAAAGAAAGUCAACAAAUUCUAAAUGCCUCAAAACUAGGAAUCCAGAUGAGAAUGAAAUGGAUCCAUGGUUUUACCACAGACUUCAUUUAGAAUCUUGACCAAAUACUAUGAGGACUAGGGAUCUGGGAUAGACCUCCAUGGCUCAAAAUUCUGGUAUCAGAAUGAAAUAAACUACGAACAUUUCUCACUAUAGGAUGCAAAUUUAGGUGGCUUAUUUCAUUGUGCUUUACUUCACUCUGUGGCACUCAUGUCAUCAUUCUGCACCUUCUUUUGCUAUUCUCAUCUAGUGAUCUCACCUUCUCUUUAUAGAGCUCCUUCAUCUUCCUUCUCUCUGGACUUUGCCUUCGCAUAUCUACCCACUAUCCAACCAUUCCUUUUUUUUUCUUCCACUUAUGGUAGAGAAAAGUAAGUCACUCUUCUUUCCUAAAGGUGGUAUCUCCACAGCUAAUUGUAUUUCCAUUCACACUUGUCUUUCUCUGAUUUUUCUUUAAAGGCAAUUCCCUUUAAAUUCUGUAGCAACUUGAAUUCUCAUUUCUUAAGGAAAGAUUCCCCUCCACCUAGGGCUUGUGGAUCCUGAGAAAAUCUUUUCUGAGAUCUGCUGCCCCCUCAAAAUGAACACUCAGUCCUUCUUUGAGUUAUGGAACUUCCAACAGAACAUGCUGCUACACUUCUGUAUUCAUUGGUAAACUCACUGUAGUUUGUCUUCCCCUACACCAUUUGCCUGCAGUUGUUCACUCAAAGAAACCAGUGAACCCCCAUUGUUUUCUCAGACCAUAUCCAGUUUUUAUUCUUUAUAGCAUUUGACACUGCAAACUAUCUACCUUUCUGAAAGUGGCUCCUCCUUUGACUUCUGGGCAUUGCACGAUUCUCGUCUCCCUUCUCUUUCCAAACUCUUUUGUCUCUCCUGUACUUACUGUUUGUCCUCCUCCCAUUCUCUAACUGGGAGUCUUCCCCCAGGAUUUAUCCUUUUAUACUUUGCAACUAUUUUACGUGUAUUUUAUCAGAAUUCUUCAUCUUAUGGUUUUAAAUAAGUCCACAGCAUAAGUGACUUCCUGUUUUAUAUCAACAGCCUUAACAUUUUCUUGACAUCUCUCCCAAAUUAUCAUUGUCUCUUGAAUAUUACUGCCCCACCCUAACCGCUCCAGCUCUAUAUGUCUGGGACCUAGUUCAUGUUUCUCCCCUGAGCCUGCUCUCCCUUUGACAUCCCCAGACUUCCUAAUGGUUAAAUAGUUUCUAUAAUAAAAUGAUUGGAGUUCUCCUUGACUUCUUCUAUUUUACUUGUUCCAAGGAGUCCAUUAAAAUAUCCAGUCAAUCCUUGCUUUGAGAUGUUUCUGAAAAUAUUUCAUUUCUUUCCAAACUCGCUGUAUCCUAUAUGUACAUUAAACCUCCCCCAACACACAUAUUCAGUGUCUUAUUACUGAACUUUUUUUCUGAGAUGGCUUCUUAACAUCUUCCACCCACAAAAUCCUCCCCAUAUUUAUCCUAUAUGUGACUCAAAGCUCUACUCACAUAUCAUUUUGUCCUCAGUAUUUUUCCUAAUCAUAAUAGUCAGAAAUGAUAACUUUCUUUUCAGC
rnacentral:lncRNA from 1 species